rnacentral:RNase_P_RNA from 3 species
GGAGUUGACUAGACAGUCGCCGCUUCGCUGUCGUCCCUUUCGGGGGAGACAGGUGAAGGGGAGGAAAGUCCGGGCUCCAUAGGGCAGGGUGCCAGGUAACGCCUGGGAGGCGCAAGCCUACGACAAGUGCAACAGAGAGCAAACCGCCGAUGGCCCACGCAAGUGGGAUCAGGUAAGGGUGAAAGGGUGCGGUAAGAGCGCACCGCGCGGCUGGCAACAGUCCGUGGCACGGUAAACUCCACCCGGAGCAAGGCCAAAUAGGGGUUCACAUGGUACGGCCCGUACUGAACCCGGGUAGGCUGCUUGAGCCAGUGAGCGAUUGCUGGCCUAGAGGAAUGACUGUCCACGACAGAACCCGGCUUACCGGUCAACUCCACUC